AUACGGAGGGGGUUAGCGUUGUUCGGAAUUACUGGGCGUAAAGCAUACGUAGGCGGAUCAGAAAGUAUAGGGUGAAAUCCCAGGGCUCAACCCUGGAACUGCCUUAUAAACUCCUGGUCUUGAGUUCGAGAGAGGUGAGUGGAAUUCCAAGUGUAGAGGUGAAAUUCGUAGAUAUUUGGAGGAACACCAGUGGCGAAGGCGGCUCACUGGCUCGAUACUGACGCUGAGGUACGAAGGUGUGGGGAGCAAACAGGAUUAGAUACCCUAGUAGUCC
rnacentral:rRNA from 1 species